UACGGAGGGUGCGAGCGUUGUCCGGAAUCAUUGGGCGUAAAGGGCGCGUAGGUGGCGGCUUAAGCGUGCGGUGAAAGCUCGGGGCUCAACCCCGAGUCGGCCGUGCGAACUGAGUCGCUUGAGCACUGUAGAGGCAGGCGGAAUUCCGGGUAUAGCGGUGGAAUGCGUAGAGAUCCGGAAGAACACCGGUGGCGAAGGCGGCCUGCUGGGCAGUAGCUGACACUGAGGCGCGACAGCGUGGGGAGCAAACAGG
rnacentral:rRNA from 1 species